UGUAACCGGGUGACCGCGGGGUGUGAUGUCUGGGCCUGUCCCUGAGGAUGAGAAGGGUUGGCUGCACACAGAAAGGGGAAAGGGAAUGAAUUUGUGGCAGAGGGAGCUGCCUGGGGGCGAGGCCUGGAGGAGUUCUCCUGUCAGGGUGCUGGGGGGAGCCUGGGGCUCUGUCUAGCUCCAGAAGUCUGAGGAGUCCACUGCAGGUUUCUUCCCAAGAGACUCCUGAGCCCGGGAAAGAGAAAAUUUAAAAUAAGUAAGCGGUUGGCACCUGUGGCUCCUGUUAUAUUUGUACCAGCCAGCGCUGCACCAGGCUAUUCUCUUCAAACUGUUAUGCUGGCCCAGGGCAGAAUGACAGUUAUGCACGACACACCCAUCCAGCUCUGUUCACUGCAAGCCCUUUCAGCAUCCGUGGUUCUGCACGGCCCUCACACUGUCCCUGAGAGUCGGGAAAGGACCAAUUUUCGCCCCUCAGGAAUGACACUGAUGGCCGUGGGGAAGCCUUGCCCUCUUGCACAAUGGACUAAAUGAUGAUAAGAUGAGGCGCCUGCCCCCAGGAUGCUCGUGGUCCAGUGAGGAUGAUAAAAAAGUUUCAAACCAAGAGCCAAAAGCCAAGCCUCACAACAGGAAUUGAAGAGGGAAUGACCAUUCGUGCUUGAAGUAAGAGCCUGACACACCAGAGGCCAAGCAGGAGCUACAGACCUGCUCUCUCAGGAGCCACCUGAGUCACCCAAGGCUGCAUUUGGUGCAUCCUUUCUGACCCUCUCCACUUCUCCUGUGAGCUGCUGAGUAAGCACACCUGUGUUUCAGGUGACUCCCGGGAAGCUGAUUUAGCAGCACAGCAGUAAGUCCAGGUGGCUGGGGAUGAA